rnacentral:rRNA from 1 species
GAUGAACGCUGGCGGCGUGCCUAAUACAUGCAAGUCGAGCGAACAGACGAGGAGCUUGCUCCUCUGACGUUAGCGGCGGACGGGUGAGUAACACGUGGAUAACCUACCUAUAAGACUGGGAUAACUUCAGGAAACCGGAGCUAAUACCGGAUAAUAUAUUGAACCGCAUGGUUCAAUAGUGAAAGACGGUUUUGCUGUCACUUAUAGAUGGAUCCGCGCCGCAUUAGCUAGUUGGUAAGGUAACGGCUUACCAAGGCAACGAUGCGUAGCCGACCUGAGAGGGUGAUCGGCCACACUGGAACUGAGACACGGUCCAGACCCCUACGGGAGGCAGCAGUAGGGAAUCUUCCGCAAUGGGCGAAAGCCUGACGGAGCAACGCCGCGUGAGUGAUGAAGGUCUUCGGAUCGUAAAACUCUGUUAUUAGGGAAGAACAAAUGUGUAAGUAACUAUGCACGUCUUGACGGUACCUAAUCAGAAAGCCACGGCUAACUACGUG